GUGGGGAAUCUUGCGCAAUGGGCGAAAGCCUGACGCAGCCAUGCCGCGUGAAUGAUGAAGGUCUUAGGAUUGUAAAAUUCUUUCACCGGGGACGAUAAUGACGGUACCCGGAGAAGAAGCCCCGGCUAACUUCGUGCCAGCAGCCGCGGUAAUACGAAGGGGGCAAGCGUUGUCCGGAAUUACUGGGCGUAAAGGGCGCGUAGGCGGACAGCUUAGUCAGAGGUGAAAGCCCAGGGCUCAACCUUGGAAUUGCCUUUGAUACUGGCUGUCUUGAGUUUGGGAGAGGUGAGUGGAACUCCGAGUGUAGAGGUGAAAUUCGUAGAUAUUCGGAAGAACACCAGUGGCGAAGGCGACUCACUGGCCCAAUACUGACGCUGAGGCGCGAAAGCGUGGGGAGCAAACAGGAUUAGAAACCCUUGUAGUCC
rnacentral:rRNA from 1 species